rnacentral:rRNA from 1 species
AUUGAACGCUGGCGGCAGGCCUAACACAUGCAAGUCGAGCGGAUGAAGGGAGCUUGCUCCUGGAUUCAGCGGCGGACGGGUGAGUAAUGCCUAGGAAUCUGCCUGGUAGUGGGGGAUAACGUCCGGAAACGGGCGCUAAUACCGCAUACGUCCUGCGGGAGAAAGUGGGGGAUCUUCGGACCUCACGCUAUCGGAUGAGCCUAGGUCGGAUUAGCUAGUUGGUGGGGUAAAGGCCUACCAAGGCGACGAUCCGUAACUGGUCUGAGAGGAUGAUCAGUCACACUGGAACUGAGACACGGUCCAGACUCCUACGGGAGGCAGCAGUGGGGAAUAUUGGACAAUGGGCGAAAGCCUGAUCCAGCCAUGCCGCGUGUGUGAAGAAGGUCUUCGGAUUGUAAAGCACUUUAAGUUGGGAGGAAGGGCAGUAAGUUAAUACCUUGCUGUUUUGACGUUACCAACAGAAUAAGCACCGGCUAACUUCGUG